rnacentral:rRNA from 1 species
GAUGAACGCUGGCGGCGUGCCUAAUACAUGCAAGUCGAACGCUUCACUUCGGUGAAGAGUGGCGAACGGGUGAGUAAUACAUAAGUAACCUGGCAUCUACAGGGGGAUAACUGAUGGAAACGUCAGCUAAGACCGCAUAGGUGUAGAGAUCGCAUGAACUCUAUAUGAAAAGUGCUACGGGACUGGUAGAUGAUGGACUUAUGGCGCAUUAGCUUGUUGGUAGGGUAACGGCCUACCAAGGCGACGAUGCGUAGCCGACCUGAGAGGGUGACCGGCCACACUGGGACUGAGACACGGCCCAGACUCCUACGGGAGGCAGCAGUAGGGAAUUUUCGGCAAUGGGGGAAACCCUGACCGAGCAACGCCGCGUGAAGGAAGAAGUAAUUCGUUAUGUAAACUUCUGUCAUAGAGGAAGAACGGUGGAUAUAGGGAAUGAUAUCCAAGUGACGGUACUCUAUAAGAAAGCCACGGCUAACUACGUGCCAGCAGCCGCGGUAAUACGUAGGUGGCGAGCGUUAUCCGGAAUUAUUGGGCGUAAAGAGGGAGCAGGCGGCACUAAGGGUCUGUGGUGAAAGAUCGAAGCUUAACUUCGGUAAGCCAUGGAAACCGUAGAGCUAGGGUGUGUGAGAGGAUCGUGGAAUUCCAUGUGUAGCGGUGAAAUGCGUAGAUAUAUGGAGGAACACCAGUGGCGAAGGCGACGAUCUGGCGCAUAACUGACGCUCAGUCCCGAAAGCGUGGGGAGCAAAUAGGAUUAGAUACCCUAGUAGUCCACGCCGUAAACGAUGAGUACUAAGUGUUGGGUGUCAAAGCUCAGUGCUGCAGUUAACGCAAUAAGUACUCCGCCUGAGUAGUACGUUCGCAAGAAUGAAACUCAAAGGAAUUGACGGGGGCCCGCACAAGCGGUGGAGCAUGUGGUUUAGUUCGAAGCAACGCGAAGAACCUUACCAGGUCUUGACAUCGAUCUAAAGGCUCCAGAGAUGGAGAGAUAGCUAUAGAGAAGACAGGUGGUGCAUGGUUGUCGUCAGCUCGUGUCGUGAGAUGUUGGGUUAAGUCCCGCAACGAGCGCAACCCCUGUUGCCAGUUGCCAGCAUUAAGUUGGGGACUCUGGCGAGACUGCCGGUGACAAGCCGGAGGAAGGCGGGGAUGACGUCAAAUCAUCGUGCCCCUUAUGACCUGGGCUACACACGUGCUACAAUGGACAGAGCAGAGGGAGGCGAAGCCGCGAGGUGGAGCGAAACCCAUAAAACUGUUCUCAGUUCGGACUGCAGUCUGCAACUCGACUGCACGAAGAUGGAAUCGCUAGUAAUCGCGAAUCAGCAUGUCGCGGUGAAUACGUUCUCGGGCCU